CCUCGUGAUACUCAAAGUGAAUGCUAAUGAUUCUACCACUCCCUCUUCUACUCCUACAACUCUAUUAACCGGCCUUCAUCUCUUCCAAUUUGACAAUGCGAAUAUUGCUAUGAGCAUUGUUUUAUGAAAUUGAAACUUCAAGGCAAACGCCAUGCACUUUGUCCAGUACACUGCUAUGAAGAGGAAACCAAGAAGCAUAAUAUCAAGAAUUGAUAAGCUUCAAGUUUGGUUGAUGAUUGAGAUCUUCAAUAUAUUUGGAUAGUAUGGAUAUAUAAAAACUCAUAGUUUUCUUGCUUAUAAUUUAGUGAUUUGGACCGUAAUAAGGGGCUUGAUGGACUUAUGCUUUGCUGGUUUACCUUGUUUUGUCCUUUGAGUUUUGGUAUAUGAUAUGAAAUGUAUUUUCCAAGAGAUUGGACUUUCCUUUGUAGUGUUCAUGUGUUACUAAAUGCCGAGGCCCAAAACCUUGUGGUCUCUAUGUUGCGAGGAAAAAUGUUAUGACAUGUAUGAUCAAUUGAAGAGUAAGACUUUGUAACAUUUAUAUUUAAUGAAAUGACGUUAUAGUUCAAGAGGUUUAUGGUGCCUUGGUGCUUUUUAAAAGAUGAUUUUGUGGUUUCUUAAAUUAUUAUGUAUUGACGUUU